rnacentral:rRNA from 1 species
AAAGUGGAUUUAUUAGUAAUUAGGUUUUAUAAUUAUUUAGUGAGUAGUGGAAUAGCACGUGUACAUAUUGCCCGUCGCUCUCAGUUUUGAGAUAAGUCGUAACAUAGUUGAUUUACUGGAAGGUGAAUCUUUUUGU